GGAGAGAUGGCAGAGUCCGGUCGAUCGCGCACGACUCGAAAUCGUGUGAGCUAGGAAUAGCUCCGUGGGUUCGAAUCCCACUCUCUCCGCCA
rnacentral:tRNA from 2 species